rnacentral:lncRNA from 1 species
AGCAAAAGAGUUUAAUUGCUUUCUGUGUGACAUGAAAUUUGUAAAAUAUAAUGUCGGAAAUUACUUCAGACGGGUAAGCAAGAGAAAGUGACAAUAAACUUGAACGAGAAUCGUAAUGACUAAUGGUGAUGGGACCUUCCGCAUGAACAAACGGGAACUCCGAAGUAAAACUGUCUUUCAAAAUGAACGAAAAUUUAAAAAGAAAUGAAUACACGUUGCUUUUCAGUCAAUUUGAAUUGAAUGGAACAUUGUGAAUUACAAGCUUCCAGCAUGAAAAAGC